rnacentral:rRNA from 1 species
UUUCCCUCAGGAUAGCUGGCACUCGCUUGAGCGAGUCUCAUCUGGUAAAGCGAAUGAUUAGAGGCCUUGGGGCCGAAACGACCUCAACCUAUUCUCAAACUUUAAAUGGGUGAGAUCUCUGGCUUGCUUGAACGUUGAAGCCACGAGAUUAUUGUAAUGGAUCAGAGUGCCAAGUGGGCCAAUUUUGGUAAGCAGAACUGGCGCUGUGGGA